rnacentral:rRNA from 1 species
UGGGGAAUAUUGCGCAAUGGGGGAAACCCUGACGCAGCGACGCCGCGUGCGGGAUGAAGGCCUUCGGGUUGUAAACCGCUUUUGAUGGGGAGCAAGCUUUCGGGUGAGUGUACUUUUCGAAUAAGCGCCGGCUAACUACGUGCCAGCAGCCGCGGUAAUACGUAGGGCGCAAGCGUUAUCCGGAAGUAUUGGGCGUAAAGAGCUUGUAGGCGGUUCGUCGCGUCUGGUGUGAAAGCCCAUCGCUUAACGGUGGGUUUGCGCCGGGUACGGGCGGGCUAGAGUGCAGUAGGGGAGACUGGAAUUCUCGGUGUAACGGUGGAAUGUGUAGAUAUCGGGAAGAACACCCAUGGCGAAGGCAGGUCUCUGGGCUGUUUCUGACGCUGAGAAGCGAAAGCGUGGGGAGCGAACAGG